UACGGGGGGGCAAGCGUUGUUCGGAAUUACUGGGCGUAAAGGGCUCGUAGGCGGCCAACUAAGUCAGACGUGAAAUCCCUCGGCUUAACCGGGGAACUGCAUCUGAUACUGGAUGGCUUGAGAUUGGGAGAGGGAUGGCGGAAUUCCAGGUGUAGCGGUGAAAUGCGUAGAUAUCUGGAAGGAACACCGGUGGCGAAGGCGGCAUCCUGGACCAACACUGACGCUGAGGAGCGAAAGCCAGGGGGAGCAAACGGG
rnacentral:rRNA from 1 species